CAGCAGCCGCGGGAAUACGUAGGUGGCAAGCGUUGUCCGGAAUUAUUGGGCGUAAAGGGCUCGCAGGCGGUUUCUUAAGUCUGAUGUGAAAGCCCCCGGCCCAACCGGGGAGGGUCAUUGGAAACUGGGAAACUUGAGUGCAGAAGAGGAGAGUGGAAUUCCACGUGUAGCGGUGAAAUGCGUAGAGAUGUGGAGGAACACCAGUGGCGAAGGCGACUCUCUGGUCUGUAACUGACGCUGAGGAGCGAAAGCGUGGGGAGCGAACAGGAUUAGAUACCCCCGUAGUCCCUGUCUCUUAUAC
rnacentral:rRNA from 1 species